GUCCACGCCCUAAACGAUGAUUACUCGAUGUUGGCGAUAUACUGUCAGCGUCUUAGCGAAAGCGUUAAGUAAUCCACCUGGGGAGUACGCUCGCAAGAGUGAAACUCAAAGGAAUUGACGGGGUCCGCACAAGCGGUGGAGUAUGUGGUUUAAUUCGAUGAUACGCGAAGAACCUUACCAAGGUUAGAAUGUUUUGGACCGCUGCUGAAAGGUGGCUUUCUCUUCGGAGACCGAUUGCAAGGUGCUGCAUGGCUGUCGU
rnacentral:rRNA from 1 species